CUACACUUGACAUGCCUCUUGGGACUUUCAGAGAUGAUUGUUUUCGGUUCGGCCGGGGAGUGCACAGGUGCUGCAUGGCUGUCGUCAGCUCGUGUCGUGAGAUGUUGGGUUAAGUCCCGCAACGAGCGCAACCCUUAUCGUAUGUUGCCAGCAUUUAGUUGGGCACUCAUGCGAGUCUGCCGGUGAUAAGCCGGAGGAAGGCGGGGAGGACGUCAAGUCAUCAUGGCCCUUACGUGUAGGGCUACAAACGUGGUACAAUGGUGGUGACAAUGGGCAGUGAGGUCGUGAGGCCAAGC
rnacentral:rRNA from 1 species